AAUUGAACCUAAAGAUCAAUGACCUGGGACAGGAAGAUAAACAAAAGAAACAUGAUAGUAAAAAGGUUCAGAGUCAGCUUGUAAGCAAGUUUGCAAGACUGUUCCAAACUACAAGAAGAUGGCAAUCCAGCUUUGCUGUGUUUUAUCAUAGUAUAUCAUUGGCAUCCAGGCAUCGAUUAAGGAAGCCAACUGUAGACCAGGAAAGGCUUCAAGGAAUAUACUACAGAAUUGUAUCCUGGAGCAUUUUCCACAUGUGACCCCUGUGAUGGUGAGGGAAAAACUAAGGGACAUUUAAAAAUCAUGAAGAGUGAACAGGAAUUCAAAAGAUAGAUAUUUGAAUACAUUAAAAUUUAACCGGAUACC